GACAAACGCUGGCGGCGUGCUUAACACAUGCAAGUCGAACGUGAAAAGGGGGCAACCCCGAGGUAAAGUGGCGUACGGGUGAGUAACGCGUAGGCAAUCUACCCCAAAGUCUGGAAUAACCGGCCGAAAGGCUGGCUAAAUACUGGAUAGAGCGACGGAAUCCGUAAUUGGGUUUUUCGGGAAAGGGAGGGAGCAAUCCCCCCUUGCUUUGGGAUGGGCCGUGCGUCCCCAUCAGCUAGUUGGUAAGGUAACGGCUUACCAAGGCAANGACGGGUAGCUGGUCUGAGAGGAUGAUCAGCCACACUGGAACUGAAACACGGUCCAGACUCCUACGGGAGGGCAGCAGUGGGGAAUCUUGCGCAAUGGACGAAAGUCUGACGCAGCCACGCCGCGUGAGUGAAGAAGGCC
rnacentral:rRNA from 1 species